UGAGAAGCUUCGACUAAGGUUCGACUUGAGCGCCAGCGAGAGAGCGUUGCCGCAGGCAACGACCCGAAGGGCGAAGCGCGCAGCGCUGAGUAAUCCUUCCCCCACCACCA
rnacentral:sRNA from 1 species